rnacentral:lncRNA from 1 species
CCGCCGGGCAGCUCCCUGCGGGCCCCCAGCUGGGAGCUGUCAUUGAACCGUCACUAAGGCUGGGAAAGACCUCUAAGGUCACCUAGGCCAACUGUCAACCCAUCACCACCACGUCCACAAGUUCUUCUACGCUUCUAGGGAUGGUGAUAUUAGAGAGGGAUGAGUUUUCCCCUGAGCCUUCUCUUCUCCAGACUGCGCAAUCCCGGUUCCCUCAGCCGUUCCUCAUAAGAUUUAUGCUCCAGACCCCACACCAGCUUUGCUGCCCUUCUCUGGACACUCUCCAGUGACUUGAUGUCUUCCUUGAAGUGAAGGACCCCAAACUGAACACAGUACUUGAGGUGCAGCUUCAUCAGUUCCAAG